GGUGCAAGCGUUAAUCGGAAUUACUGGGCGUAAAGCGUGCGCAGGCGGUUAUGUAAGACAGAUGUGAAAUCCCCGGGCUCAACCUGGGAACUGCAUCUGUGACUGCAUAGCUUGAGUACGGUAGAGGGGGAUGGAAUUCCGCGUGUAGCAGUGAAAUGCGUAGAUAUGCGGAGGAACACCGAUGGCGAAGGCAAUCCCCUGGACCUGUACUGACGCUCAUGCACGAAAGCGUGGGGAGCAAACAGGAUUAGAUACCCUGGUAGUCCACGCCCUAAACGAUGUCAACUGGUUGUUGGGUCUUCACUGACUCAGUAACGAAGCUAACGCGUGAAGUUGACCGCCUGGGGA
rnacentral:rRNA from 1 species